GGGCAGAUUCCCGAGCGGUCAAAGGGGUCAGACUGUAAAUCUGAUGGCCUAGCCUUCGGAGGUUCGAACCCUCCUCUGCCCACCA
rnacentral:tRNA from 1 species